AGGCAGAAGAACGGGAGUCAUGAAAGAGGCUACCUUAAGGGCAUGGCUAGGAGAGGGGCAAUGAGCAGGAUGGAAAGUGAAAAGGGAAAAACUCUGUAUUGGAGUGAGGAGCUGAGGUUGAGCAGGGACAGUAACCUGCCUGAAUGCCACUGUGGCCAAAGCCCGGAUCUGAAGCUGUCUGUUCUGCCCUGUCUUCUUUGCUGAAGUACUGCUCCAGUGAGGAGACCCAUCCCAGACUGUGGAGGGAACCUGACUUCUCCCUAGGGCUGACUGAAUUCAAAAGGCCUCACAGAUUCUUAUCUAUGAGACUGCUUUAAGUCUCAGUAGAUACUUGGGAGUUUGGACUUUUAAACAGAAGUGGGAUAGUUAACGACUUGGAGGAUCCUUGAAGCUUGGCUAAAGGCUUUUGCAUUGUAAGAUGUGAACGUCUUGGGAGAUGAAUAGAAUCUAAAAUAUUUCCCACGGGCUUGUAUUUUAAACACUUGUGGCCAAUUGGUAGCAAUACCUGGAGAGGAUGUGGAACCUUUUAGAAACUGAGCCUGUCUGUCAGAAGUCACUAGGGGCUGGAAGUCACUGGGCGCAUGUCUUA
rnacentral:lncRNA from 1 species